rnacentral:rRNA from 1 species
GACGAACGCUGGCGGCGUGCUUAACACAUGCAAGUCGAACGGAAAGGCCCUGCUUUUGUGGGGUGCUCGAGUGGCGAACGGGUGAGUAACACGUGAGUAACCUGCCCUUGACUUUGGGAUAACUUCAGGAAACUGGGGCUAAUACCGGAUAGGAGCUCCUGCUGCAUGGUGGGGGUUGGAAAGUUUCGGCGGUUGGGGAUGGACUCGCGGCUUAUCAGCUUGUUGGUGGGGUAGUGGCUUACCAAGGCUUUGACGGGUAGCCGGCCUGAGAGGGUGACCGGCCACAUUGGGACUGAGAUACGGCCCAGACUCCUACGGGAGGCAGCAGUGGGGAAUAUUGCACAAUGGGCGGAAGCCUGAUGCAGCAACGCCGCGUGCGGGAUGACGGCCUUCGGGUUGUAAACCGCUUUCGCCUGUGACGAAGCGUGAGUGACGGUAAUGGGUAAAGAAGCACCGGCUAACUACGUGCCAGCAGCCGCGGUGAUACGUAGGGUGCGAGCGUUGUCCGGAUUUAUUGGGCGUAAGGGCUCGUAGGUGGUUGAUCGCGUCGGAAGUGUAAUCUUGGGGUUUACCCUGAGCGUGCUUUCGAUACGGGUUGACUUGAGGAAGGUAGGGGAGAAUGGAAUUCCUGGUGGAGCGGUGGAAUGCGCAGAUAUCAGGAGGAACACCAGUGGCGAAGGCGGUUCUCUGGGCCUUUCCUGACGCUGAGGAGCGAAAGCGUGGGGAGCGAACAGGCUUAGAUACCCUGGUAGUCCACGCUGUAAACGGUGGGUACUAGGUGUGGGGUCCAUUCCACGGGUUCCGUGCCGUAGCUAACGCUUUAAGUACCCCGCCUGGGGAGUACGGCCGCAAGGCUAAAACUCAAAGGAAUUGACGGGGCCCCGCACAAGCGGCGGAGCAUGCGGAUUAAUUCGAUGCAACGCGUAGAACCUUACCUGGGUUUGACAUGGAUCGGGAGUGCUCAGAGAUGGGUGUGCCUCUUUUGGGGUCGGUUCACAGGUGGUGCAUGGCUGUCGUCAGCUCGUGUCGUGAGAUGUUGGGUUAAGUCCCGCAACGAGCGCAACCCUUGUUCACUGUUGCCAGCACGUUAUGGUGGGGACUCAGUGGAGACCGCCGGGGUCAACUCGGAGGAAGGUGGGGAUGACGUCAAGUCAUCAUGCCCCUUAUGUCCAGGGCUUCACGCAUGCUACAAUGGCUGGUACAGAGAGUGGCGAGCCUGUGAGGGUGAGCGAAUCUCGGAAAGCCGGUCUCAGUUCGGAUUGGGGUCUGCAACUCGACCUCAUGAAGUCGGAGUCGCUAGUAAUCGCAGAUCAGCAACGCUGCGGUGAAUACGUUCCCGGG